rnacentral:rRNA from 1 species
GUGACAAGCUACUAAGGGCAAUCGGUGGAUGUCUUGGCACCAAGAGCCGAUGAAGGACGUUGGAGCCUGCGAUAAGCCCCGGGGAGUUGGCAACCGAGCUGUGAUCCGGGGGUGUCCGAAUGGGGAA